UACGUAGGGGGCGAGCGUUGUCCGGAAUCAUUGGGCGUAAAGAGCUCGUAGGCGGUUCAGCAAGUCGGCUGUGAAAUUCCGAGGCUCAACCUCGGAACUGCAGUCGAUACUGCUGUGACUCGAGUCCGGUAGAGGAGAAUGGAAUUCCCGGUGUAGCGGUGAAAUGCGCAGAUAUCGGGAGGAACACCAGUAGCGAAGGCGGUUCUCUGGGCCGGUACUGACGCUGAGGAGCGAAAGCGUGGGGAGCAAACGGG
rnacentral:rRNA from 1 species